rnacentral:pre_miRNA from 1 species
GGACUGAGACCAGCCCACGGCCUCCAUGCUCCUAGUCCCUUCCUUGAAGCCGUCGGAUAAGCCACAUGACGAGCCUCAAGCAAGGGACUUAGAGCUGCUGGCUUCCAGC